UUGACUUGGACCGAAUACUCGACCUGGACCUCGUAUUAUCCCCGUUCCCGUCUUUGUCCCCGUCCUCGUCCCGUGCAAAUCCCACCGAGAGCUGCAACCCAUCCACAAACGGCGGCGACCGAGGGAGACGCCGGCGAGAUGGGCGGCGAGCAAGACCUGCGAAAGGCCACAGAGAGCUGCGAGAGGGGCAGGUUCGUCCUCGGCGCACCGACAAAUCCAAUCAUGGAUCCCGCCUAGCCGCUCCACAUCGCCGCCAUCGUUCUUGGCAUCUGACCGGCGACGGCACCUCCCGCCAUCCCUGUACUCCGAUCUGGUCCUAUCUCCGAUUUUGCUAUUCUGCAAGUCUGGCAUUCUCUCCACUAAAUUCAUUCAGUGACGAGACUCCACUCUCUUGGGAUCGUGUAAAAACACUAGUAUUCGGCGGGCACUUCGAGUAAAGAUGUUAUCAUUGCUAAUCAGGAUCAGGGUCAAGGCUACGACUGAGACUUGAGAGCUUAUCAUGACAUUCCUUUGUUGAUGUUGUUCAAUUCUUGGUACUUUAGCUCGUUUGCCUUCUAGACGUCCAAGAUGUACUCCUUCGGGCGACUUGGUCGAGUAAAAGUUGAGAGCUUAUCAUGGAGCUUAUUAUGACAUUCCUCUGCUGAUGUUGUUUAAUUCUUGCUACUUUAGCUCAUUUUCCUGUAAAACGUUUCUCUGGAUGCAUAGUAUAUGUUACCCGACUUGUUAAUUUUAAUGUAUGCUAAAGCUCAAA